GCCUAUGACCCUGUUGCCAGUACUCUAACCUAGGGGGGAGAAAUGAAAUGUAUGGCAGAAUACCAUAUGAGCAGGUGUACGUACCUGGUAGUAUGAAUAUCUCACAGGAAACUGUGUGGUGAAAUAUCUAUUUAAACCUGGACAGCAUGAAAACGGGUAAAAGAGAGUAGUAUAGUGAGUGUGGACUGUGUGGGAAUGAAGUAGAC